rnacentral:misc_RNA from 1 species
UUGGUUGGUCGAAAGACCUUAUCAGAUUCUACCACCUCUGUGAACCGUUGACCUCCGGGUUAAUAAUCAAACAUCAGUGUAACGAACGUAAGAGUAUCUUAAUUAAACA